rnacentral:lncRNA from 1 species
AUGCCAAUACAAGUUCCAAGAGGGUAGGAUGCUUUCCCUGUUUUUCUUCAUCUAUGCUCACAAUACCUAGAACAGAAGAUGACACAGGUAUGUGCCCAAUGGGUGGUAUGUCCUCUUUCUUCAUGUCACCAGAUGGGAUGGCUACUUUGUGGAAAAAUGGAGAGAAGAGAAGACUACAGUGAUGGGACCAGGAAACAGGAUAUCUGUGGUCAGAAGUUGCCUCUUAGGACUAAACCAGUGAAAGAUGGGAAAAUCCAUGAUGGAAGCUUGCUUGAACUCUGAAGAAACACUGGCUUCUUUGUAAUCCAAUUUCCAUAUUAAAUGACAGUCCAGCCAGUACCAUGAAAGUUGAAAAUCACCAUGACAAUGACAAGAAGAGACCAAAAAAGGGCAGAAAAGGGGCUCCUUGAUUCCAGGGAAAUCUUCAACCCUCCUUGAUUCCAGGAAAAUCUUUAUCCCUUCCUAAGAAAAGCGUAUACUUCAGAUGACAGCAUGUGAUGUGAUGGAAAUCUCUACUAUUCCCAGGAAAAAUGUCCUGUCAAAGUUAUCAGAUCCAUUGCCUAACAAACUUCUAUCCUAGCCAAUUGACCAACUGAAAGAUUUCUGUUGUAAAACAUAUUCUCCCUUAGAUUUUAUGGGUUGAUUUUCUUUUCUUUUUUUAUGUUUCUUCAAAACACACACAAAAAUCAUUUCUUGCCACCAAACAAAAUAGGAUUUAAUUUGAUUGAUCGGAACAGGAUACAAUUAAAGUGAGGAUAUCCAAUGACAAUUAUAGUCAGGUUGUUUGAACAGAUUUCCUGGUAUCUCUAAGAAUCCCUUAAUGAUUCACAAUUACAAAUUUAUGUUAAAUCCAGGUUUCUCAUUCUCUGGACUAACAGGUAAGAAACGAGACAUCAGUACUUUGCUGGUUUGAAGAUAUGAGGAGUUUAGUACUCUGAUUAUAGUACUCUACAAUAAGUUUGCCUAGUUCUUGAAAACAUUGAGCUGUCACUGCAAACGAGAAUUUUUCCUUUCCCCUGUAGUUUGAACAUAUGAUGCAAUCAGUCUUCUAAUUUUUGACAGAAGAGGAAAAGGAAGUGAUGUCAGCUAUUGACUGGAUUUCAUAGUUGUAAAGAUUAGACUAGGACUGGUUCCUGACUAAAAAAAUAUAGCAAAGAUUUCUAGUUUAAGAUGAUGGAUUAAGCACAUAUGGUUAUCAGAUAUUCCACUUAAGACUUCAGUGAAAUAAUGGUAAGGGAAAAAAUAAUAACAACAAAGAAAAAGGAGAGUGGUAAUGUUUCAAACAAUUAUUAUAAAAUAGAAUACAAAUAAUUUCUGACUUAAGAAGCUGAGGGAAAACACUUUAUCCAAGGAUACGUAAGAAGGGAGCUGCAGCCAAGAAAUAAAUCUAUUGCCUUCAGUACUGUAAAGAGGUUCAGACACAAGACACCUCAAGUAUUUCAGAGCCAGAGAAAGAGAACUGGAAUUGGGAGGAUUCAGGGCAGUACAGGUGAAAAGGCACUUUCCCAAACGUCAUCAACUUGUGACUACAUAAUACAACAAGGAGGCAUUUACUCCUCAGCAAAAGCAAUAUAAGGUUUUUUAAAUUUUUAUUUUAUUUUUUAUUUACAUAUAUUUAUUUAUUUACUUAUUUAUUUUCUUAAAGAAACACUGUCUAGAAACUCUGGGAAGAACAAGCACUAGCACACCAGAGCAAAGCCCAGCAGAUGCUGGCUCCUCAGGGCCACAGGGCACAUUUUCCAGUGCCCUGCCUACCAACAACAAGGUCAAGCCUUCAGGUCUACAACUCUUUCACUGAUAUAUGGAAUAAUAAAGGUGUUCAACUGACUCAUUUUAAGGUAUAGAAGUUUACCCAGGCAUUAGAAGAAAGUCUAAAACAUAAAUACCUUUAUUCAGAAGUAAUAAUUAAAUCCUAAUCAUGUGCCAGGCACUAUUCUAGGCACUAGAAAAAAAAACCAGCAGUGAACAGAAAACAGAUGAAAAUCUCUGAUCUCAUGAAGUUUGGUGGGAGAUAAAAUACAUAUAUACAUAUAUAUAGACAAUUUACAAAAUAGCAGAAUUUCAUAAGCAUUCUGGAGGAGAGUAAAAAACAAAAGAAGACAGUGAAGAAUGAGGAAUGUGGCAAUUUUAAGUGGUGUUGUCAUGGGAGUCCUCACUGAGAAGUGGUAUCUGUGCAAAGACCUGAAGGAGACAUAAAAGCCAAUCUCAGUAGAUAUUAAAAAACAAAAACAAAAAUAUGGAAGUAAGAGUAGUAAAGUAAAAAGCCCGAGGUCAGAUCAUACUUUAACAUUUAGUAAAAGCAUGGACGGUUGUGUGUCUUGGAUGCAAUUGCAUGUGCAGGCAAGUAUUAGAUGAGGUGCAAACGAAUAGAGUGAGGCUAGACUUCAAUAGGCCAUGUAAGUCAUUGUGAAGACUUUGGCUUUUUCACAUUCAAUAAAGUACACAAACUUUAAGUAUACAGCUCAAUGAAUAUUGACAAAUGAAUAGUCCUGUGUAACCGUGAGCCAGAUCAAGUUUAAGAACUUGCCUCUCAUCCCAGAAAGUUUCUUGUGCCUCUUUUGACUCAAUUCCCCCCAGCCAGGCAACCAAUACUAUAAUUUCUAUCACCACAGAUUAGUUAUUUAUGUUCUUGAACAUUCUGUACAUGUGUUCAUAGAGUAUAUACUUUCUGCUGUCUAGCUUCUUUAGCUUUACGUAGAAUGUGAGGGAUAGGUAUGAUUACAUUAGUCGCUCAUUUUCUUUUAUUGCCGAUAGUAUUCCAUUGUAUAAAUGUACAGAGUUUGCUCAUCUUUUGUACUGUUGAUAAACAUUUGGGGGCUACCAACGUUCUUGUUCACAAGUCUUUAACUGAAUGUCUUUCUCGUGGGUAAACACUUAGGAGUAGGAAUACUAGGACCUAGAGUGUUAACUAUAUUGGAAAUUAUUCAAAGGGUUUAGCAUUUUGCAGUCCUGCCAACAAUGUAUGAAGGUUCCAGUUGCUCUGCCUCCUCCUCAUUAUGCCAUAUUGUCAUUCUUCUCAUUUUUAUCCAUUUUCCUGAGAAUUAAUGAUGCUGAGCAUCUCUCUAUGGUUAGCACCCUAUGGUUAGCAUAUCUUGAUUGUGAAGUGUACUUUUCAUGAUAGUUUUCUCUCAUGUUUAAUUAGAGUGUCUGAUUUUAUUUAUUGAUUUGUGUAGAUUGUUUUUAUUCUGAUAUUAGUCCCUUUUUGGAUAUAUGUAUUGCAAGUAAUUUUCUCCCAAUCUGUAGCAUGUGCUUUCACUUUCUUAAUAGGCUCUUUGGGUUUGUUUUGAUGUUGAUGAGAGUUUUAUUAUGGAUAGGUUUUGUUUGUCAAAUUUUGUUUCUCUACUUAUUAAAAUAA